CCUACGGGUCGCACCAGUAGGGAAUCUUCCGCAAUGGGCGAAAGCCUGACGGAGCAACGCCGCGUGAGUGAAGAAGGUCUUCGGAUCGUAAAACUCUGUUAUUAGGGAAGAACAAAUGUGUAAGUAACUAUGCACGUCUUGACGGUACCUAAUCAGAAAGCCACGGCUAACUACGUGCCAGCAGCCGCGGUAAUACGUAGGUGGCAAGCGUUAUCCGGAAUUAUUGGGCGUAAAGCGCGCGUAGGCGGUUUUUUAAGUCUGAUGUGAAAGCCCACGGCUCAACCGUGGAGGGUCAUUGGAAACUGGAAAACUUGAGUGCAGAAGAGGAAAGUGGAAUUCCAUGUGUAGCGGUGAAAUGCGCAGAGAUAUGGAGGAACACCAGUGGCGAAGGCGACUUUCUGGUCUGUAACUGACGCUGAUGUGCGAAAGCGUGGGGAUCAAACAGGAUUAGAUACCCUUGUAGUC
rnacentral:rRNA from 1 species